AUAUCGUGGUGCGGACAUUUUCUUAGCAUUGAUUUUAAUCUUUCCCAUGCUUGAUAAACUGACUCAGUGUCAGUCUGUAAGAAAUUAGAAAUAUCUUGUCUUAACUU